UGGCGGACGGGGGAGUAAUGUCUGGGAAACUGCCCGAUGGAGGGGGAUAACUACUGGAAACGGUAGCUAAUACCGCAUAACGUCGCAAGACCAAAGAGGGGGACCUUCGGGCCUCUUGCCAUCGGAUGUGCCCAGAUGGGAUUAGCUAGUAGGUGGGGUAAAGGCUCACCUAGGCGACGAUCCCUAGCUGGUCUGAGAGGAUGACCAGCCACACUGGAACUGAGACACGGUCCAG
rnacentral:rRNA from 1 species